AUCCCAGAUGCCCAUCAUAAGCUAAGAACUAUUUAUCACGCCCGCAUCUCCUUCCCAAAGAUUAAACAAGAAUCUGGGGACCACUAAAAACGGGUUCCCUUUCAUUAAAGGGGGAAUUAUUUCCAUGUAUUUUUAUAAUAACCAAUACCAUUUCAAAUUACUCACAGUUAUAACUUAGGAUCAGGUUUAUGUUUAACCUCUAAUCUCUGUGAAGCCUGUAAUAACCAGUUUGUUAGUUAACCACUCUCAAGGAAGUUAAAGGCAGGUAUAAUUAGUCAAACUAGCAAUUAAGGGGAGAAGCAACUAAAUUCCAAGUUUGGGAUUAUGAAGUCUAUUCUUGGUUUAUUCUUUGUUGGCCACAUGCCUUGGGUGUGGGAGAAAGCACCAGAGUCAAGCUCCAUUGAAUCUGCCAUGAUGAAUUUCGUAAAUUGGCUCCUUCCUGGUCAUUAGUGGUAGAAGUUCUCACCAGCCAGAAGCGUGCCAGAAGAUGAGAAAAAUGGAUUGGCUGAACCCUGGGCCCUUUUUAGUGAGAACCAGAAAAGGAAAUGGAGCCGAAGGAUCAUCGAUCAUGGAAGGAUUAUGGAAUCUCAGCCCUAGAAAGGACCUUAGAGAUCAGAAGGAUGAGGCGAAGCAUGUGCAGUGGUCCAUCCUGUGGCUACUUUGGGGAACAUCUCUGCCUCUAUUACCAUCUCUAGGCAUAAUCUGCAGAUCAAUUGUCCUCUUUGUACAAAUAUUAAAUUAACCCAGGAAUCAAAUGUGAGUGACAGUAAGGCCUUGAUUAACCAGAAUGCUUUGGGAAUGGAGCAUUCUAGUUAAUUGAAUUUUCUGGUUGACCUGUAACAGAUCUUUUAAAAAUGUGCAUGCCUUUGGAAGUACAGUAUGGUGAGCCUUAUUCUAAAGCUUGAGAUAUCUAUAAGCCAUAAGGGUCAACAUUCUGCAAAGUCAUGUCCAGCCUUCAGUAUUGCAGCUAAAGGAGGCUAAAGAGAACAGAUUGACUCUAUCCAGAAUCCAUGAUAUACCCUGAUCAAAUUCUUUUUUAAACAAAUGUUUAUUUAAAAAUAAAAUCUGUGCUCUGAAUGCUUUUGUUUUUCUC
rnacentral:lncRNA from 1 species